rnacentral:rRNA from 1 species
UACGAAGGGGGCUAGCGUUGCUCGGAAUUACUGGGCGUAAAGCGCACGUAGGCGGCUUUGCAAGUCAGAGGUGAAAGCCUGGAGCUCAACUCCAGAAUUGCCUUUGAGACUGCAUCGCUUGAACACGGGAGAGGUGAGUGGAAUUCCGAGUGUAGAGGUGAAAUUCGUAGAUAUUCGGAAGAACACCAGUGGCGAAGGCGGCUCACUGGACCGUUGUUGACGCUGAGGUGCGAAAGCGUGGGGAGCAAACAGG